rnacentral:rRNA from 1 species
CCUACGGGUGGCAGCAGUGAGGAAUAUUGGUCAAUGGCCGAAAGGCUGAACCAGCCAAGUCGCGUGAGGGAAGACGGCCCUACGGGUUGUAAACCUCUUUUGUCGGGGAGCAAAGCGAGUCACGUGUGACUCAUUGAGAGUACCCGAAGAAAAAGCAUCGGCUAACUCCGUGCCAGCAGCCGCGGUAAUACGGAGGAUGCGAGCGUUAUCCGGAUUUAUUGGGUUUAAAGGGUGCGCAGGCGGAGGUGCAAGUCAGCGGUCAAAUUGCGGGGCUCAACCCCGUACUGCCGUUGAAACUGCAUGCCUUGAGGGCGCGAGAAGUAUGGGGAAUGCGUGGGGUAGCGGUGAAAUGCAGAGAUAUCACGCAGAACUCCGAUUGCGAAGGCAGCAUACCGGCGCGCAACUGACGCUCAUGCACGAAAGCGUGGGUAUCGAACAGGAUUAGAUACCCUAGUAGUC